rnacentral:piRNA from 1 species
UACAGGAAAAGGCCCAGGACAGGGAAC